AGAGUUUGAUCCUGGCUCAGAACGAACGCUGGCGGCGUGUUUAAGACAUGCAAGUCGAACGGGAUGAAGUUGUAGCAAUACCGCUUCAUCCAGUGGCGCACGGGUGCGUAACACGUGAGUUACAUGCCCUGCAGUGGGGAAUAGCCCGCCGAAAGGCGGAUUAAUACCCCAUGGUCCCGCAAGGGUAAAGGUGGCCGCAAGGCUGCCGCUGCAGGAUUGGCUCGCGGCCUAUCAGCUUGUUGGCGGGGUAACGGCCCACCAAGGCUACGACGGGUACCUGGUCUGAGAGGAUGAUCAGGCACACUGGAACUGAGACACGGUCCAGACACCUACGGGUGGCAGCAGUCGAGAAUAAUUCACAAUGGGCGAAAGCCUGAUGGUGCAACGCCGCGUGGAGGAUGAAGGUCUUCGGAUUGUAAACUCCUGUCAUCGGGGAGUAAGACCUGGGCGUGAAUAGCGCACAGGGUUGAUAGUACCCGAAGAGGAAGGGACGGCUAACUUCGUGCCAGCAGCCGCGGUAAUACGAAGGUCCCAAGCGUUGUUCGGAAUCACUGGGCGUAAAGGGAGCGUAGGCGGCGUGGUAAGUCAGAUGUGAAAUCCCGGGGCUCAACCCCGGAACUGCAUCCGAUACUGCCGUGCUUGAGGGUUGGAGAGGUAGCUGGAAUUAUCGGUGUAGCAGUGAAAUGCGUGGAUAUCGAUAGGAACACUCGUGGCGAAGGCGAGCUACUGGACAACAUCUGACGCUGAGGCUCGAAGGCUAGGGGAGCAAAAGGGAUUAGAUACCCCUGUAGUCCUAGCAG
rnacentral:rRNA from 1 species